GCCGCUCGGGGCCCCGGUCGCCGUUCCCGGCGCGGGUCUCGGGCGCGCCCUUCCCGGCGGGGUUGGAGGAAAGGGAGGCGGGGAGCGGUGAGAACCGAGGGCUGGGCGUGCUAGAAUCCGGGGCGACCACGGCGAGACGGCAUUGGGGGACCGGGGCGGGCAUCGGGAAGCAGAUGCUGACCCCUCAAGGAGUGGGGCCAGAGAAUCGCUCCUUUCUGGCGGGGACUGUGGCCGCUUUCGGACUGGGAAUGAAGCGACAUAGCCUGCUAGGGCUGUGAGGAAGGUCCACAGUUCCCCACACAUCACCAGGCCGCCUGCAGAGAGCAGGCUCAAGAAGUCACCUUGCAAUGAGAAUGAGAUUGUGUGUCUCCUACAUCACGCCCUAACGGAGAGAGGACAGCAUGGACCUGGGAGGUGGAUGGCUGGGGUGUCAACUGAGAAAGACAUGUCUGUUGGACCCCAGAGUUGAUUUUCAUGGCAUCCAAGAGCUGCCUGUGAGAACACACAAAGUUUGAUUUGUGAA